rnacentral:miRNA from 1 species
GUGGGGGCGCUGAGACUGAAG